rnacentral:rRNA from 1 species
UUUGGUGGCUUGGCGGCGGGGUCACACCCGUUCUCAUUCCGAACACGGAAGUUAAGCUCGCUAGCGGCGAUGGUAUUCCACUUUGUGGGAGAGAGUAGCUAGCCGCCAGAA